rnacentral:rRNA from 1 species
AGAGUUUGAUCCUGCUCAGAUUGACGCUGCGCAGGCCUAACACAUGCAAGUCGAGCGAAACGAGUUAACUGAACCUUCGGGAACGUUAACGGCGUCGAGCGGCGGACGGGUGAGUAAUGCCUGGGAAGUUGCCUGAUGUGGGGGAUAACCAUUGGAAACGAUGGCUAAUACCGCAUAAUAGCUUCGGCUCAAAGAGGGGGACCUUUCGGGCCUCUCGCGUCAGGAUAUGCCCAGGUGGGAUUAGCUAGUUGGUGAGGUAAUGGCUCACCAAGGCGACGAUCCCUAGCUGGUCUGAGAGGAUGAUCAGCCACACUGGAACUGAGACACGGUCCAGACUCCUACGGGAGGCAGCAGUGGGGAAUAUUGCACAAUGGGCGCAAGCCUGAUGCAGCCAUGCCGCGUGUAUGAAGAAGGCCUUCGGGUUGUAAAGUACUUUCAGCAGUGAGGAAGGUGGGUAUGUUAAUAGCAUAUUCAUUUGACGUUAGCUGCAGAAGAAGCACCGGCUAACUCCGUGCCAGCAGCCGCGGUAAUACGGAGGGUGCGAGCGUUAAUCGGAAUUACUGGGCGUAAAGCGCAUGCAGGUGGUUUGUUAAGUCAGAUGUGAAAGCCCGGGGCUCAACCUCGGAAUUGCAUUUGAAACUGGCAAACUAGAGUACUGUAGAGGGGGGUAGAAUUUCAGGUGUAGCGGUGAAAUGCGUAGAGAUCUGAAGGAAUACCGGUGGCGAAGGCGGCCCCCUGGACAGAUACUGACACUCAGAUGCGAAAGCGUGGGGAGCAAACAGGAUUAGAUACCCUGGUAGUCCACGCCGUAAACGAUGUCUACUUGGAGGUUGUGGCCUUGAGCCGUGGCUUUCGGAGCUAACGCGUUAAGUAGACCGCCUGGGGAGUACGGUCGCAAGAUUAAAACUCAAAGGAAUUGACGG